rnacentral:rRNA from 1 species
UACGUAGGGUGCAAGCGUUGUCCGGAAUUAUUGGGCGUAAAGCGCUCGUAGGCGGUGUGUCGCGUCGGCCGUGAAAACCUGCAGCUUAACUGUGGGCUUGCGGUCGAUACGGGCAUCACUGGAGUUCGGCAGGGGAGACUGGAAUUCCUGGUGUAGCGGUGAAAUGCGCAGAUAUCAGGAGGAACACCGGUGGCGAAGGCGGGUCUCUGGGCCGAUACUGACGCUGAGGAGCGAAAGCGUGGGGAGCGAACAGG